GAAAUUUAGUUAACUUAUAACAUUAAUAUGUCAUAUUAAAAUAAUUAUAUAAAUAAUAAUUUCA
rnacentral:tRNA from 1 species